CGGCAGCACGGACUUCGGUCUGGUGGCGAGUGGCGAACGGGUGAGUAACAUAUCGGAACGUAUCCAAUAAUGGGGGAUAACUAAGCGAAAGCUUGGCUAAUACCGCAUACGCCCUGAGGGGGAAAGCUGGGGAUCUUCGGACCUAGCGUUAAUGGAGCGGCCGAUAUCUGAUUAGCUAGUUGGUGGGGUAAAGGCCCACCAAGGCUUCGAUCAGUAGCUGGUCUGAGAGGACGACCAGCCACACUGGAACUGAGACACGGUCCAGACUCCUACGGGAGGCAGCAGUGGGGAAUUUUGGACAAUGGGCGCAAGCCUGAUCCAGCCAUUCCGCGUGAGUGAAGAAGGCCUUCGGGUUGUAAAGCUCUUUCGCAAGGGAAGAAACGAUUUAGGUGAAUAAUCUAAGUUAAUGACGGUACCUUGAUAAGAAGCACCGGCUAACUACGUGCCA
rnacentral:rRNA from 1 species